rnacentral:ncRNA from 2 species
UUUUUUUUAUAAGCGCCAGAACUAGUGAAAGUUGGUUGAUAAGCUCACUAGUUGACGAGGAGGAGGUUUAUCGAACGUUCGGCGGAUGCCUCCCGGCUGCGGCACACAGUCGAAUUUUCUUUUCGAAAGCAUCGAGGCGACUCGAUGGACAAAGGAGAGAAAAUGUGGUCGA